GUUAAACAAACAAAAAAUUCCCUAAAUUUGUAACUGACAAUGCCAUUAAGGGAAGGGAUCCCAAUGGUAUAAACAACCCUAUUUUUCAAUAUGGGAGAAAUUCUACCAUAAGCUCUAAAAAAAAGUUAAUAUAAGCUUUGGAAUGGCUCCAAAAAUGUGAGCUGUUACAUUAUGUAACAAUGUAAUCCCAACCUUUGAAUAAAAAAAGUUAAAAAAAUAGGAAAUCAGCAAUACCCGGUUACCGAUCCUCAAAAUAACACAGACUCUGAAAUCGGUGAAAAAACACCUUAAGCUAGAAAAAGAACACUAAAUCCCCUCUUGUCGACCAUCAUCGCUGACCCCCACUGUCAUUCCCCGUUGUUUCUUCUUCCAUUUAAAUAAUAGGCUAGUCGCUGCUAUCGUCGUCUGCGAUUAUUCAUCGGUAAUUGACGACAUUCCUCAUCAUUUUCGACCGUUUUUCUCGUCGUUUUUUGCCCCUUCACCGUCGGUCGGUUCAAACCCUAAUUAUCGCCUACGUUUCUUCAUCAACGGAUAGGGGCGUUCCUUAUCGUUUUUGGUCCCUUCACCGUCGGUUUCCUCAUCGUCUAACCCCUUUCCCCAUCGAUUUCCCCAUCUCGAAACCCCUUUCCCCGUCGGUUAUCCCAUCCCCGAACCCCCUUCCUUGUCAAUUUCCCUAGCCCUGAACCUACAUUUUCCCGUCGAUUUCCUCUUCGCCGAACCCCCUUCCCCAUCGAUUUCUUCAUCUUCAAACCCCUCUUCCCCGUCAUUUUCUUCAUCUCUGAACACUCUUCCUCGUCGUGUUCUUCAUUGUCGAACCCACCCCAUUCCCCUCAUUUUUUCAUUGCAUUCGUAUGUCUUAUUGUUGUUUGCCAAACCGUUGUUGUCGUGCGUUGUUCGCUGGACAGUUGUUCCCCAAAAAGCAUUUACUGUACACAUCAUAUUGCUUCAUCGGACAAUAAAUACCUGGAAAAACAUUGAGGUGCUAUUUUCUUUACCUAUUACUUAAUAUUUAUGAAAUUCAUUAAAAUGGUCAUCGGUAACACGCUUUUCUUAUUGCAGGAUAGAUAUUUAGGGAGUUUGAGAGCGAGUGAGGUUUUCAAAAAACAUUCUUGACAAACAAAGGAGUUCUAAGCACAACUCAGUAAGUAUUAAGUCCAAAUUUGUUGUUUCAUUGCUUCUAUUUCCAUAAUUUGUGUGUGUGUUAUAGCUUAAUGGAAAUAAAAAAUAUAAUGGGAGAAUGUGAUGUUAAUGAUGAUUUGCGUUACAUGACAUUUGAAGUUUUGAUGAUACUGAAUUUGUGCUUAAGUAUUUGUUUUAAUUUCAUUGAAUAUGUGAUAUUUUGUUAUGUUACUUAUAAAAUGCAAAGACUUGAGUUUUUG
rnacentral:lncRNA from 1 species